UUGGAUGGUUGGCCUCUUGGUUACAAGCAUGUACAUUAUGGCUCUCUCCUUGCCUGGAACUGGAUAUGAGAAAUGCUUGAAUUAAGAUCUGUGAAUUAUCUUAUUUUCUUGUCAGAAGGAUGCAGAUUGCCCAUACUUCAUAGCAGAGCAACAGGAGGGACUUAGGGACAAAAAGCUCAAAGGCAAGGAAGACUGAGGAAGCUAAGUUACUGGCCAUAUGUUUAAUAAAUAUAAGCUUAAUGGCAGUGAAUGUAUUAAUGUCAGCGAAGACAAGUCUAUGAAGUUAAACAGGCACAGAGAGGCUAAGAGUCUUGCCAAAGGCCACAGAGGAAGGAAGAGACUAAAUCUGGAACAAACUUUCUAUUCUCCAUUUCCAGAAGAAACCACUAAACCAUGCUUCCUCUUGUCAUGGAAGCUUAAAAUAUUUGGACUGUCUGUGGAUCCAGGGAGGAAUUUCAGAAGAGCCAGGAUUAGUCAAUCAAAUUAAACUCAAUAUCACCCAAAUAAAGUUGGUCAGAUCAAACUACGUUUAAAUAAGAAUUAAAAUGCCAUUUGUCCAUCACCUAAUGGCUCAAUUUGCUCCUGCCUUGGGUGUGCACACCCUGCUCUGGAACAGACCAGAGCUCUAAAGAAGUGACUGGAAGUUGUGAAUGUCAUUGUUAUGAAGCUUCAAAUUUGCUCUCCUCUUUAGGACACAGACAUGGCAUUAGAGAAGGGCAGAAAACUGCACUUGGCUGUGCAUAGAGAACACUAGAGACCUCUUGUGCAAGAGAGGGGACUAGGUUGCGUAGUGUAAUGAGAGAAGCAUGGGUUUUGAGACCGCUACAAUGUCUGUGUCUUCUUGGCCAACAUUUCAGUAAGAGUAGUAAGCAUAUCUCCACAAUAGGGUU
rnacentral:lncRNA from 1 species